rnacentral:misc_RNA from 1 species
CUAUACCUCAAGCCCGGCUUGUAUGUUGGGCUUACUGUCUUGUUGGACAGUGGCCCGAAAGGCAGAGGCAGGGUCGUAGUCCGGUCUUUUCAAUGCGUAUGGGGCAUUGUCACCCGCUUGAAGGCUGGCCGAUCCUCUAUGCCUAUUGUGGAUUUUAUCCACCAUCAAUUUUUUCUGA